CUGCAAGAAAUGGCGGCGCUCAUGGAGAAUGGAGGAAGGGCAGGAAGCGCCUAGGAUGCCGAGGAUGCCGAGGAUGCCGGCGUGUGCGCGCUCAGGAGCACAGGCCAUGCCCUGUGCUGGGAUCCAAAGGGAAUGAAGUCUCUGCCCUCCAGGUGCUCAAGGUUCUUGGGGCAAACUGACCCAUGAGAGGACAACUGUGUGGAAGAUUCUCUGGUGUAGGUCUGGGGCCAUCAGGCAGAGUCCUGCCCCCGGCGUCAUGAUCUGUAGGCGGACAAUCUCUUCACCUCUUGUGCUGUAGCCAAAGGAGAGAGCCAGAGAGAUGCUGAGAAGAAAUAGGAACAAAGUAUUGCCUCAGUCUGCCCAAGCUGACACCUCUCCCUCAACACCUUCCUUCUCCUUCGUCAUCCCCUUGAGCAACUGCUUCUUAAAGACCCAGGUCAAAUGAGAGAUCUUCCAGAGGGGCUGUUAUGGGUUGCAUUACAUCCCCCAAAAGGCAAGAGAGCACCAUUAUCUGCUCAGACACUCAGAGCUCAGAAAUCAGGGAAAAUCAGGGCCCUGCCUGAAGUGAGAUCACCAAUGCUCAGUCUGACCCUGCCUUGUCACCCCACUGCCAGAUCCUCCCAUCUGACCAGCUCACAGGCCAGAGCCAGUUCAC